UAAUAGUGUAUAUUAAAGUUGUUGCAGUUAAAAAGCUCGUAGUUGAAUGUUGGUGUCGAACGAGCGGUCAGCUUCGGCUGUACUGCUCUCUCGACUCCUUCCUUCUGUGGACUACGUCGCACUUUACUGUGUGGCGCUAGGACGCAGAUCGUUUACUGUGAAAAAAUUAGAGUGUUCAAAGCAGGCCGUACGCUUGAAUACAUUAGCAUGGAAUACUGGAAUAGGACGUCGGGCCUAUUUUGUUGGUUCUAGGACCGUCGUAAUGAUUAAUAGGGACAGUUGGGGCCGUUUAUAUUCCGUAGUCAGAGGUGAAAUUCUUGGAUUUACGGAAGAUAAACUACUGCGAAAGCAUUCGGCAAGGAUGUUUUCGUUAA
rnacentral:rRNA from 1 species